AUUGGCCGCACGUGGAUAAACUUUUAAUUAACAGGAUGCGAUUCUUAUGUUUUACCAACACUGAUGUUGAAUUAUCAUUAGACUGAAUAAACAAAAGUAUGUCAGAAAAUAUUUUGGAACCUCAACUUACAGUAAGUAUUCUAUACGGACCACAUAACGUUCUUGGUUUUGUCAAACACCGCACAGAAAGAUUAGAUGCUAUUGACGAUGCGUUGACUAAACUUGGAUUUAAAGUUAAUAAGAUUCAGUGGCAUUUUCCUGAAAUGGUUGCGUUUUCACUCGAGAAUGAAAUUGU